GCUUUCUUACUCCAGACCAUAUUUUGUUUCGUGUAGGUUUUAGAACAUCGUCAAUAGGCAGCGUAACUCGAUGCCUGCUUUUUGUGCAUAGCAUGUACAAGAAUCUUGAUGCUUAAUUUGACAUUGACUAAAAUUUUUACUCUGUUGAAUUUUCAGGAUUUAAUUCUUCUCCUACUAACUUCUGGAAGAGAUCCAGGUAUAAUUCCUCGUAAUGCACACCCUCCAGAACCUGAAGGUUACAAUGGAAGUGCAGGAGCAAAGACCCCACAGUUACGCUUGCCUCGCAUUCCUAUUUUCAACCACACAAUCUUCAAUAAAAUAAUAUUAAAAACAAAUCGAAAACUUUUCAUUUUUUUACAAUCAUCCAUUUUUCAAAAAAACACUAUUCCCCCCAUUAUAAACCCAAAUAAUGGGGGCCAAACAGGGGCUUCAUUAAUCACGAUGAAGAGCUGUUACUGAACUAUAUGCUUCAAUCAAUGAUUUACUUGGGAAAUCCAAAGCUAUAAUAAAACACAUUUGUGAGCUUAUGCUGAGCAUUUUUUUCAUCCUGAAGGUUUUUGUGAAUUAUCAUCCUUGUAUGCCUCAGUUCUAAUUCGAAGAUCACUGAAUACUUUAUUUUGAGGUCAUCGCAUCAUACUGGAUGUAUGAUUAAGAAAAAUUGCAUCUACCAUUUGAAAUGUCCCACUGUGGAAGCAAGCCUUUUGCUUCUUUACUCUGGUUUCUAGAGUUUUGGAAUAUGUUUUCAACCCUUGUUCUGCAGCUGUAGGAGCUAUUUCUAACCAUCCUUUUUAUGUUUACUACAAUCUGCCUUCUAUGUUAGUACAUCCUUCUUGACUGCCAAAUGUUGCAACUUAUUGAAUAAAUUAUAAAACCAUUGAAAUUUGGAAUGAGGAUAGGUGGACAAAAAUUUGAGCAAACUGAAGUAAUGAGGUUUUGUUUAUUUUAGUGAAUGAUGUACUUCAAAUUAUGGUAUUGAUACUGAUCGUUGGAUUCCAUGUAUACUUUUUGAUGAACUUCCUGAUUCAACUGACUCACCACUUUUUAAUGAUGAAGUUAAUAUUUAAGCAAUUUUGGAUGGAAUAUAGAUUUGUUCACCUAUCACCCAUUUCCUCCCCAUUAGUCCAGAAAAAAGGGGGGAGGCUGUGUGAAUCCAUUAACUAACUGCACCUUGUUGGACUCAUAAAAUAGAUUCACUUAGGCAUGCAGGCUACGUGCUUGACAAGAUGUUUAAUUACAUCUAUAUGCUAUGGGUAGUUAUUCUUCACUAUUUUUCAAGAAAAAAGAAAAGGAAUGUAAAACAAAUAAUUUCCUAUCUGCUAUAAAAGGGGCUACAUGUGUCUAUUAACUAGCUGGUUUUACUGGUUUUGCUCUGAUUAGUGAGAGUUUAUAUCAUAGCAAUUAGCAAAAACCUAAAACCUAAACCUUAUAUUGUCCUUUGUUGUUACUUAGGGCCUGAAGUAACAAGUCAGUAUUGAGUUUCUAUAUUCUGUGGUUAUAAAGGGAUAGAUGGUGGAUAUUUUUUGCUUAACACCUAAUCUUGAAUUUGAUGCAAUUAGAAAAAUAAUCUUUUAAGAUUCCAAGGAAAACCAAUUUCUUUGCUUGAUAAGGUAAAUUAUCGCCAUGACAUGUAGUUGCUGUGUCUGCCUUUGUACUGGCUUAUUGACCUUUUACGAGAGGUGGGCCUUCAAAUUUAAACUUCAUUGGUUGGUAUGGUUUUCCUUUGUAUAUUACAUGAUUUAGUUAGCUUUUCUAUGCAUUACAAAUAUAACACUCUCUCAAUCAUUUUUAAGACUUAGCCCCCGUUUGGCCUACAUUAAAUCUCAUCAAAUUAAAUUAAAUUUUUCACUCCCAUUUUCAACCAUACAAUCUUCAGUAAAACAAUAUUACACGUAAAUUGGAAACUUUUCAUUCUUUAACAACCAUCCAUUUUUCAAAUAAAAAAAAAAAAAAACACCAUUCCCCCCAUUAUAAUCAAAAUUAAUGGGGGCCAAACGGGGGCUUAGUUGACACAUUUGCCUAGUUAUCCAUGAAGUUUGAUCGAAAUAGAUUUUGUAGAUGGUGCUAGGAAUUAUCACAACAUUGUAUUUGAUGCUGAUGGAUUACUUUGGAGGUUCGAUUACCAACAAAAAGAUGUUUUUAGAUGAGAAAGGAUCAUGCUUUCUUACUCCAGACCAUAUUUUGUUUCGUGUAGGUUUUAGAACAUCGUCAAUAGGCAGCGUAACUCGAUGCCUGCUUUUUGUGCAUAGCAUGUACAAGAAUCUUGAUGCUUAAUUUGACAUUGACUAAAAUUUUUACUCUGUUGAAUUUUCAGGAUUUAAUUCUUCUCCUACUAACUUCUGGAAGAGAUCCAGGUAUAAUUCCUCGUAAUGCACACCCUCCAGAACCUGAAGGUUACAAUGGAAGUGCAGGAGCAAAGACCCCACAGUUACGCUUGCCUCGCAUCAAGGAAGUUGAGGUCAACGGCAUUACUGUG
rnacentral:lncRNA from 1 species